UACGGAGGAUGCGUGCGUUAUCCGGAUUUAUUGGGUUUAAAGGGUGCGUAGGCGCGAUGCCAAGUCAGCGGUAAAAAUGCGGUGCUCAACGCCGUCGAGCCGUUGAAACCGGCGUUCUUGAGUGGGCGAGAAGUAUGCGGAAUGCGUGGUGUAGCGGUGAAAUGCAUAGAUAUCACGCAGAACUCCGAUUGCGAAGGCAGCAUACCGGCGCCCUACUGACGCUGAGGCACGAAAGCGUGGGUAUCGAACAGG
rnacentral:rRNA from 1 species